rnacentral:rRNA from 1 species
AUGCCCUACAUACCAGCAGACGUCAAAAACCUAAAGGCAAAGUACCGUAGAGAGAGCAGGUUGGCUGACAUAGAAGACACAAUAGCCUACUUCGAAGAGAAAGCAAAAGCAGAUAAUGAUUUCUUCUACAGAAUAAGAUUGGAUGAUGAGGACCGUGUCAGAAACAUGUAUUGGGUGGAUGGUGCUGCAAGAAGAGCCUGUAAACAUUUCUGUGAUUUCAUUUCGUUUGACACGACAUAUCUCACGAAUAUGUACAAGAUGCCCCGUGCUCCAUUCAUAGGAAUAAAUAACCACAAUCACUCCUUGCAGUUCGGUUGCGGUCUUGUUCGGAACAAGGAUACCGAGGGUUACACUUGGCUGUUCGAAACCUUCUUGGAGUGCAUGGAUGUACUUGCUCCGAUGAACAUAAUAACAGACCAAGAUUUUAGCAUGCGUGCAGGCAUAGAGGAGGUCUUUCCGUUGGCAGUGCACAUGCACUACAUGUGGCAUAUUAUUAAGAAGGCUUAAGAGAUGCUAGGACCAUUCUUCGCUGACCGUCCAAAGCUACACAAGGCACUCAAGUUGUGUGUGGACCACACCUUGACGGUGGAGGAGUUUGAACGGAGCUCGACGGCUAUGAUUUGA